rnacentral:rRNA from 1 species
GACGAACGCUGGCGGCGUGCUUAACACAUGCAAGUCGAACGGAAGGGCCCUGCUUUUGUGGGGUGCUCGAGUGGCGAACGGGUGAGUAACACGUGAGUAACCUGCCCUUGACUUUGGGAUAACUUCAGGAAACUGGGGCUAAUACCGGAUAGGAGCUCCUGCUGCAUGGUGGGGGUUGGAAAGUUUCGGCGGUUGGGGAUGGACUCGCGGCCUAUCAGCUUGUUGGUGGGGUAGUGGCUUACCAAGGCUUUGACGGGUAGCCGGCCUGAGAGGGUGACCGGCCACAUUGGGACUGAGAUACGGCCCAGACUCCUACGGGAGGCAGCAGUGGGGAAUAUUGCACAAUGGGCGGAAGCCUGAUGCAGCAACGCCGCGUGCGGGAUGACGGCCUUCGGGUUGUAAACCGCUUUCGCCUGUGACGAAGCGUGAGUGACGGUAAUGGGUAAAGAAGCACCGGCUAACUACGUG